UGUUAAUAAUUUCAUCCCUUUCUAUUGUUAAAAACUGGCAUGACUGACUGAAUAAUCAGAUAUUGAUGCUAAUGUAUAGAGAUCAAUUUUUAACGGUAGAAAUAUAUGAAAAUUUUAACA
rfam:Gossypium raimondii Chr10_contig_54, whole genome shotgun sequence.